CUUGACCUCAAAUCAGGUAGGACUACCCGCUGAACUUAAGCAUAUCAAUAAGCGGAGGAAAAGAAACUAACAAGGAUUCCCCUAGUAACUGCGAGUGAAGCGGGAUGAGCUCAAAUUUUGAAUCUGGCGGUCUUUGGCCGUCCGAGUUGUAAUCUAGAGAAGCGUUUCCGCGCU
rnacentral:rRNA from 1 species